UUCGGUCCUUGUUUCAUUUUUUUUUUAUUUUGCUGAUUUCGGAUGAAGUCAAUAACAUCAUUCCUGACCUCACUUGACCCUCCUCCGACCCUCCAUCAAGCAUGACAGGCCCCUGACGGCCUCGAUAGUCUUGAAGCAGCCUCUGGAGGCCCUCUCUCCCUCUCAAUCUCCUUCCCUCCACCUCUCUCUCUUUUCAUCUCUGUCGUUCUCCCUUCACCCUCUCUGUAGUGUCGGUUCGAGCCUGAUACGGAACAAUAUGAUGGCGUACUGAAUUGUGCCACCAGUUUGAUUGGUCUGAGCCUCGGUAUCGGCUCAGUGA
rnacentral:lncRNA from 1 species